CCUCCUCACUUUUUAAUUCAAAUAAUAUAAAAUUAACAAACCAUCAUUUAUUUUAACUUACACGUCUCCCAACACGAAUUGUUAGUCUCAGAGAGGAAAACUAUUCAUUUGCGAUAUGGUUUUUGUGCUUGUUGUUGGCUGUGGUUCUCGGCUCUGUAGGAAGGCUGAUUCGUUUGCUGAGUAAUGGUAUCCCUAGAGUGAUAAGUGCUACCCUGAAUACUGUUGUUGCCCCCUAUUGCUACAAGAGAGUGAAACACCAGUUUGGGCUCUACCUUUUUCUGCCAUGCUUUUCCCUUCUUGAGUCGCCGAUAGUGUUUCAGCAGCUCUACCCCUCGUGAAUUGGUGAGUGGCUGACCUGAGGAACGCCUUCCUCUGACUUGAAAAGGCUUGCUCCUUUAAUAUUGGCUUCAACUUAAGGAGUUCCUUCUUUUUUUUUCUUCUUAGCUUCUGUUGGCCACGAUGAAAGCAGCAGUGGCGAUGUUGGUGUAG
rnacentral:misc_RNA from 1 species